rnacentral:rRNA from 1 species
AAAUUGAAGAGUUUGAUCAUGGCUCGAAUUGAACGCUGGCGGCAGGCCUAACACAUGCAAGUCGAACGGUAACAGGCGCGCUUUGCUGCUUUGCUGACAGUGGCGGACGGGUGAGUAAUGUCUGGAAACUGCCUGAUGGAGGGGGAUAACUACUGGAAACGGUAGCUAAUACCGCAUAACGUCGCAAGACCAAAGAGGGGACCUUCGGGCCUCUUGCCAUCGGAUGUGCCCAGAUGGGAUUGCUUUAGUAGGUGGGGUAACGGCUCACCUAGGCGACGAUCCUAGCUGGUCUGAGGAUGACCAGCCACACUGGAACUGAGACACGGUCCAGACUCCUACGGGAGGCAGCAGUGAGAAUAUUCACCUGUCGACAAAGCUGAUGCAACCAUGCCGCAUUAUGAAGAAGGCCUUCCGGGUUGUAAAGUACUUUCAGCGGGAGGAAGGGGUAAGGAUGUACCCUUUGCUCAUUGACGUUACCCAUAUAAGGAAAAACUGCUAACUAUCAUUGCCAGCAGCUAUGACAAUACGGAGGGUGCAAGCGUUAAUCGGAAUUACUGAAUAAGCGCACGCAGGCGGUUUGUUAAGUCAGAUGUGAAAUCCCGGGCUCAACCUAGGAACAUCUGUGCAACAGCGAGGUCUCGUGAGGGGUAGAAUUCAGUGUAGCGGUGAAAUACGUAGAGAUCUGGAGAAUACCGGUGUGACGGCGGCCCCUCCGGACGAAGACUGACGCUCAGGUGCGAGAAAGCGUGAGACAAACAAGUUAGGCUGCAGUGAGUCCACGCCGUAAACGAUGUCGACUUGGAGGUUGUGCCCUUGAGGCGUGGCUUCCGGAGCUAACGCGUUAAGUCGACCGCACGGGAAGUACGGCGCAAGGUUAAAACUCAAAUGAAUUGACGGGGGCCCGCACAAGCGGUGGAGCAUGUGGUUUAAUUCGAUACGCGCGAAGAACCUUGCAGAUGUGACAUCACGAACUUUCCAGAGAUGGAUUGGUGCCUUCGGGAACUGCCGGACAGGUGCUGCAUGGCUGUCGUCAGCUCGUGUUGUGAAAUGUUGGGUUAAGUCCGCAACGGCGCAACCCAUAUCUUGUUGCCAGCGGUCCGGCCGGGAACUCAAAGGAGACUGCCGUGAUAAGCUGGAGGAAGGUGGGGAUGACGUCAAGUCAUCAUGGCCCUUACGACCAGGGCUACACACGUGCUACAAUGGCGCAUACAAAGAGAAGCGACCUCGCGAGCAAGCGGACCUCAUAAAAAGUGCGUCGUAGUCCGGAUUGGAGUCUGCAACUCGACUCCAUCAGAAGUCGAAGAUCGCUAAUGAUAAUGGGAUCGAAUACCACAGUGAAUACGUUCUGACGGCCUUGUACGCACCACCUUGCGUCACACCAUGGAGUGGGUUGCAAAGAAGCGUAGGUAGCUUAACCUUCGGGAGGCGCUUACCACUUUGUGAUUCAUGACUGGGGUGAAGUCGUAACAAGGUAACCGUGAGGGAACCUGCCCGGUUGGAUCUCCUUACCU